rnacentral:rRNA from 1 species
AACGAACGCUGGCGGCGCGCCUAACACAUGCAAGUCGAACGAGAAUCCGGGGCAACCCGGUAGUAAAGUGGCAAACGGGUGAGGAAUACAUGGGUAACCUACCCUUGAGAAGGGAAUAACCCGCCGAAAGGUGAGCUAAUACCCUAUACGCUAUCUUUUUUUCGAAAAGGAUAGGAAAGCCGGGUCGAGGACCUGGUACUCAAGGAGGGGCUCAUGUCCUAUCAGCUUGUUGGUGGGGUAACGGCCUACCAAGGCUACGACGGGUAGCUGGUCUGAGAGGAUGAUCAGCCACACUGGCACUGAGAUACGGGCCAGACUCCUACGGGAGGCAGCAGUGAGGAAUAUUGCGCAAUGGGCGAAAGCCUGACGCAGCGACGCCGCGUGGGGGAUGAAGGUUUUCGGAUUGUAAACCCUUUCAUGAGGAAGAUAAAGUGGGUAACCACUUAGACGGUACCUCAAGAAGAAGCCACGGCUAACUUCGUG